rnacentral:rRNA from 1 species
UACGUAGGGAGCAAGCGUUGUCCGGAAUCAUUGGGCGUAAAGCGCGCGUAGGCGGCCCUGUAAGUCCGCUGUGAAAGUCAAAGGCUCAACCUUUGAAAGCCGGUGGAUACUGCAGGGCUGGAGUCCGGAAGAGGCGAGUGGAAUUCCUGGUGUAGCGGUGGAAUGCGCAGAUAUCAGGAGGAACACCAAUAGCGAAGGCAGCUCGCUGGGACGGUACUGACGCUAAGGCGCGAAAGCGUGGGGAGCGAACAGG